rnacentral:rRNA from 1 species
CCUGCCGGCGACCGGCGCACGGGUGAGUAACACGUAUGGAACCUGCCCGCCACAGGGGGAUAACCCGCGGAAACGCGGCCUAAUACCCCGUGACGCCACCGGAGGGCAUCCUCCGGUGGCCAAAGGAGCGAUCCGGUGGCGGAUGGGCAUGCGGCGCAUUAGCUAGACGGCGGGGUGACGGCCCACCGUGGCGACGAUGCGUAGGGGUUCUGAGAGGAACGGCCCCCCACACUGGGACUGAGACACGGCCCAGACUCCUACGGAAGGCAGCAG